rnacentral:rRNA from 1 species
AGUGAACGCUGGCGGCAGGCCUAACACAUGCAAGUCGAACGGCAGCACAAGAGAGCUUGCUCUCUGGGUGGCGAGUGGCGGACGGGUGAGGAAUGCAUCGGAAUCUGCCCAUUUGUGGGGGAUAACCUCGGGAAACCGGGACUAAUACCGCAUACGACCUACGGGUGAAAGCAGGGGAUCUUCGGACCUUGCGCAGAUGGAUGAGCCGAUGCCGGAUUAGCUAGUUGGAGGGGUAAAGGCCCACCAAGGCGACGAUCCGUAGCUGGUCUGAGAGGAUGAUCAGCCACACUGGGACUGAGACACGGCCCAGACUCCUACGGGAGGCAGCAGUGGGGAAUAUUGGACAAUGGGCGCAAGCCUGAUCCAGCCAUGCCGCGUGUGUGAAGAAGGCCUUCGGGUUGUAAAGCACUUUUGUUGGGAAAGAAAAGCAGCCGGUUAAUACCCGGUUGUCAUGACGGUACCCAAAGAAUAAGCACCGGCUAACUUCG